CCCGCUAAACGAUGGCCCGCCGUAGGUCUUCAUAGACCAGGAGGUUCGGGACGGGGAGCUGCUGUGCCGCCACCUGUGCUUCUCCUGAGAGGAGCGGGACCAGCCUCAUCGACCACUGGUCCCGCGGCCAUUUACACGCCUCCGCGGAUCUCUCGAAGAGGUCUAAGAAAACUUCUGGAUCAUCCAAUGGGCCCAUCUUAUUUAAGGGCAGGUGGACAGGCACAGCGGGCUGUUCGGUGGGCUCCCGGGGAACCUCCCGGUCAAUCCAGCUCCGGAACGCCUCGUGGUCCUCCUGCUGGGUCUGCAGAAUGGCUUGGAAACACCGCUCCUGGUCACCUCUUAACUCCAGCAGGGCCUGUUGUUGUUCGCGGUGCAGGACCGCGAGGGACGCGAUGAUGUCCGCAAAUGUGGCGGAGGACGAAGAUUGCAUGGCGACGUGCUCCCGUCUUCCUUCCCGGGUUUCGGCACCAGCACUGUAAAAAAUUACUCUUGAGGGUGUUAAAUACAACCCAUGAAAAUCAGUUAUAGUUUACUUAAGUAUAUGAGUUAGCAAGUAAAAUAAAAAAUAAUGGGUACAUUCUACCUCCACUAUCUAUUUCUUAUCAGUAUUAACUGCAAGACUAAAAAAUUAAGUAAAAUUUACCCCUAAAUAUUAGCUUUGGCACCGCAAAUUGCGCAUGCGUCAACAUCCAGGCGGGAAUCACGGGAGUCACCAUUUUCCAUGUCUUUGGCGCUGGCGGAACAUUGAUUGGUGAACCUACAGGUACGUUUUUAUUUAACUUGUUGAUAUCAUCAUGAAUGCAAAUGUUAAGUUGUUUAACGUUAAAAUCUACCAGAAGAAUAGUCAUUUCUCUGUCUCUAUUGUCGCACCACAGUCUGGUGACAGAUUGACAUGUUAUAAUUUGUUGUUAACGUUAGUCAAGUUAACAUUGGAAGCGGAAUACAUUGUCCAGUAACGUUACUUGCCCCUGCGAAUGCGAGUAAACAUCUACGUUAAUGAUUUAAAUAUAGCUUCCAUUAUUGUAAUGUACAUGGCUGAAAUUCGUGCACAGCGAAGCUGUUACAUGUGAGUUGAACUUGAGCAAGUGACGAAAGAGAAAUGGACGGUUGAUGUAGUUAGCCUACUAUACAGACGACAAGGCGUUCGGAGCAGAAAAAUAGCAGUAAAGCUGUCGAUGUGAUGAAUCUAGAAGAAGAAUUAAAGAAUUCAUAGCAGUUAUCAAGACAAGUUAACUUCAGGUGGCCUGGAUUGUUCAGUAGGCUCAGAUCAAAGAGGAAUUCUGACGUAUAACAACAGGCUCCUUGGAGGAGACAUUUAUGAUGAAUCUUGAUGGGUGCACACCACGUCUUUCUGCAGUUGAUGCAUGCCAAAGGAGGAGUAUUUGGUACCAAGAUGCAUCCUCUCCUGAGCACUGUAAAUGAGAAGGAUGAACUUGAAGGCCACACAAAUGAAAUAAUGAAGUUGGUGGUUGUUCACAAUCCCGCAGUUGAGGAGGACCCACCAGAUGUGGAAUGAGCUGUCUGUACUUUUUUGCACUUAAAGGGUUAGUUCACCCAAAAAUGAAAAUAAUGUCAUUUAUUACUUACCCUCAUGCCGUUCCACACCCGUAAGACCUUCGUUAAUCUUCAGAACACUAAUU